UAUCUGUUUCGGGGCGGAGUGAAAUUCUCCACCGGCGGUGAAAGUCCGCGAGCCUUGCGAGAGGUUGAACCGGUGCAAUUCCGGUACCGACGGUAUAGUCCGGAUGAAAGAACCAGAAA
rfam:Eubacterium sp. CAG:786 genomic scaffold, scf340